rnacentral:snoRNA from 1 species
UAAAACAUCUUCCACUGUGACAGGCCUCUCUCUCUGGGCUUUUCACAGUGUCUCCUCAUAAUACACUGGCUCUGAACUAUUGUCUGGCUUCGGCACCAGAACACUAUUUUGCAGGGAUGCUGUG